rnacentral:lncRNA from 1 species
UGGUAGGGUAAGUAAAUAAUUGAAUAUUAGCCUACAAUAACAAAAACAAACUACAAGUACAUAUAUAUGAGUGUUUAUCACAGACAUAAUAUUGAAUGAAAGAAGCCAAACAUAAAAGAGAACAUAUUUUAUGAUUCUAUUUAUAUGAAACAUAAAAAUAUAUAAAACUAAUCUAUGCUAUUAGAAGUCAGGGGAAUGGUUGCCCUUUAAGGGUUAGUGAACAGAAGGUCCCACAAGGGGGCUUUUGAGGUACUGGUAAUAUUAGGUUUCUUGUCUGGAUGCUAUCUAUAUUUAUGAUUUGAACGCUUUAUGUGUAUUUCACUGUAAAGUUUUAAAAAAAUAACAGUAAAUACAAGAAAGCCCACAUAAGUUCUGAUAUUUCCCCCAUGAUAACUACUUUGAUGCUUUUUGAGGGAAAUAAUAUCAAAUUCUUUCAAAAAUCUUUUUUCUGCCCAUUUUUUGAACUCUUGCUUUGCUGGUACUCUUGCAUUUGUAAUAGCAACUUAAGUAAGAGACUAGACCAGGUGUGGGGUCUGUCUGGGAAGCCUUCUUGAAAGAGAUGAAGCUGGACCUGAAUUUUGUAGCAUCCAUUGGAGGCAGCCAGGGGAGCAAGUGGAGAGCAGAGAGUUCCAGGCAGAAAGGCGAGGCUGCUGGCAAGCAUGAAGUUGUGGUGAGGGAAAAAAGAACCCAUUGGGAGGGGCCAGAAAUGGCUUGCUACAGCUGGAACUUAAAGAGUGGCCGAGGAGGGGUUAGAAGUGGUAAGAAAGAUAGUUUGCCAGAGGCCAGAUUGAGAAGGGCCUGGAAGGGUUAUACUACUGUUUGGACUUGAUCCUGUGGGCAUCUGGGAGCCAGUGAACAAUUUAAACCAGUGACACAAUUAGGUUUCUCUUUAAUUAAGAGUAAGCUGGUGAUGGUGUGAAGGCCACUUGGAGAGGGAUAAGACUGAAGCCUGGGGGACCAGUUAAGAGGCCAUGCCAAUAAUUCAUGGGAGAUAUGAUGUGCUGGUGGCAUGGGAUGGAGAGGUGGGGAGAGAAAUGAGAGCUAUUGAGGAGACAACUGUCCAGACGGGACUUGAUAAUUGACAGGUUUGGAAUUGAUAUGUAGGCAUGGUGCUUUUUUUCUCGAGAAACAAAAUUGGAACUUCUAAUUUGAUAAAUGAUGAAACACAUCUGUCUUUCCCCUUUAAUACUGUUCUACAGUGACAGAGGUCAAAGGAUAUUGCUGUGACGAACAAGAGAAAGCUUAUCAAUUACUUCCCAUUGCUUCUUAGAAUGAAAACUCAAUGACACGUUUCAUAUUUUUUCAGUGGAGGAUCCUGUAGGUCGUGUUAUGCACUAGCACGCAAACUUCUUGAUUUUGCCAAAUGAGUCAGUUGAGAGGGAAAAGGUAAUUUAUCCAAGAAGCCCUGUGUUUAAUGACAUUCUGGAAAUAGAAAAAAUGUUGAACCUGUAUUCAGUGUCGUAUACUGUUGUAAACAAAAAACAAUUGUGCAUGUGUUUAUAUGAUUAUUUAGGUACAAAAAUUUGUAUACACACAUAUGAAUAAACAUACACAUAUGUAUAUAUACACUUGCACAUAUAUAUAUAUAUAUGCACACUGGAAACCUAUACUACUAUGCAAUACCCUUGAGAUUUUAGAUACAGAGAUUAUCUAGUAUAUAAAGAAUAACAAAUUUUUAUUUAAUUUCCCUCUCUUUUUAAGGGUUACAUUUGGGUGGGAGAGGAUCUGGAGGAUAUUUUCCUUACUUUAAUUACCUCAUUGCGUUCCUUCCUUUCAAUUUUGGUUUUUAUAAAUGGGAACACUGCAUUAAUCUAUUCUAAUUAAAAAUCAGCCAUGCAACCCUUCAGUUAAAGAAACAAUUUUCAGUCUGCCUAGGAUACCAUUUUGUCAGAAAUUGCCUCUAUUGCUUUUGGAAUUAACACCACUGCAGUGCUGUGGUGACCACUGGGCAACAGCUUUACUAGUUGAUUUUAUGCUAAAAAUAUCAGGAAUUGGCCAAGAGUCUUUGCUCUGGAGAAGGGUUCAGAGCUCUUCCAUGGGGGCCUAACAGAGUGUGGACAUUUCUAUUCCUACAGUAAAAGAAGAGGGGGAGUUAUGGAAGGGGCGACAAGGAAAGACCUAAGUUCAUCUCCUGCUUGUCCACAGAACAGCUCUUCACCUUCCGGCUGCCAGAGGAGCUAUGCUAUUCUUAGCCAUCUCCUGCAAAGGAUGCUAAACUUGGAACAUUUUAUCAUGAAGUUAACAGUGAAGACUCCCAGAUGACUUUGUAUUGGAGAAGAGAAAAGAAAAAAAAAUGUGAAUCCUACCUUAUGUCAGAGGAGGCUUUGAAGCUAUAAUGGACACAGAUCUAAAUUAAAGGGCCCAGGCUGAAGGAGCAGUGGCUGUUGUGGCACAGUCUUCCCGUGGAUGAAUUUUGGAAUGAGAGAGCCAAGCCCAAUUACACAAGCGCAUUUACGGCCUUGCUUGCAUCGUGUCUUCUAACAUGCCAUUGUUCAAAGCAAGUCACAUGGCGAAGUUCAACAUCAAGGGGGCAAGGAAGUAUAGUAUUUCCACGGUGGGGGUGGGGAGGAGAAGGAAUAUUUGCUGAACAAUAACCCAAAUUAUUACAGAAAGUAUAUCAACUGUCCCUCUGGAUUUCAAAGGGAAGGAAGCACUUCAUCCACUCUCCUUGUAAAUUUUCUAUGUGAGCUGAGAACGAGGUUGGAAGGAGCCAUCUUCCAUUCCAUGUUUAUCUCCAGGAGGCCCACUUUUGCUCUCUGGAGUAGAGGUUUUGAUUCUUUACAUGUUCGUUUCCUCCUUAUUAGAUUAGUUCCUCCUCAAUCUGUUCAUAUAAUGUUUAUCUACCCAUUAAUAUUUUAUUCCUAGCUUAUCUAUAAUAUUUUUUCCUUUGCUAUCUCACACAUUACCUCCCCUUUAAGAAUAGACCCAAAAUAAACCAAACCAGAGUUGUUUAUCAAGAAUCUGAUAUGUGCUCAGCUAUAUUCUAGUGUUGUAUUUUAUACAGAAAAAUGUUCCUGCAAUUCUCUACCCUUAGGAGUUCAUAAUUGAGUCUCUAAAUUGGAUUAAAUACUGAACUGUAUGAUAUUGACUUGGUGUGAUAGUUCACAGACAAGAGAAAUUUUUCACGGUAGAGCUAGUUAAGAUAAAGGUGGACCUUGAUAAAUGGGUAGAAUUUUGCAUAGAGAGAAAGGAGGAGGAGAAGGGAGGGCACUGAUGGAGGGCGAAGGAGCACAAUCAAAGAUGUGGAGGCAGAAAUGGGCUUCGGUUGGAGUAAGGCUGCUGCAUAACCAAAUUUACAUUGUUUAAGGUUUUAGAGUUCAUACUUAAACAUCCAUAAUUCAGAACGAAGAGAAACAGAAGUAGACAAAGCAAUGGCCUGGAUAUUAAACAGACUGUCUGAGGCAUAACUUUCUUGUCCAUUUCGUGACUGCCACUGUGUUGACCACCAGGCAGGGAAGACUGCACCAGGACAGCCCUCGGUCACACAUGCCCCUGGUGACAACAUCCAAACCACUUGUGUUUCACUGGCCAGGAUACAGAAAUCAUCUUUGAGUCCUAGACCCCUGAACUCCUAGUUUCCCUAGACCAAAGAUGAUGGUGCCCCUUGGGGGCUACCUACUGCCCAAGGACUGGGCAUCUUUCUUUUUUUUCUAAAGCCUCCUUGAAAAAUACAUACUUUAGAAGAUAUUUCUUGUCAGGUAGAACUUUACUGAGGAGACGCUUUAGGCUUAUAAGCAGGGGACAGGAAUACCAAUAUUGGGGUUGAGGCGUAGACAUAUGGACAAAGAUUCUUUGCUUGACCAAACUUUAGUCAGGCUCCUGAAUCUUCUCCUACGCCCAUCUGGGCACUUCCCUGUAAAAAAUCUAGUUUUAGCAAGAACGCUGCUAAGACAGUUCAGCAAGAGUCCCCCAUCCUCCAUAUCUGAUCCCCUUCGAUAUCUGAUCAGGUUCCUCUUGUUCCACAGUCUCCCAGGUGAUGUCUGGUCACCCUGGCCUGUCUUCAGUGAGAACCCUGUUAGGUCGGUUUAGCCAGAAUUCUCCUUACCCCUGAUGUUUCCUCUUGGUAGUUUUCUAUACACUGACUGCCUCCCUGCUCCUUGGCUACAAAUCCUCACUUGUCCAUGCUGUAUUCAGAAUUGAGCCUGGUUCUAUACUGAGGUCUCUUUUUCCUGUAUUGCAAUAA